rfam:Perkinsus marinus ATCC 50983 gcontig_1104296289474, whole genome shotgun sequence.
GACACAUUGGCCGAAUGGUUAAGGCGGCGGUUUGCUGAGCCGCUGGGCUCUGCCCGUGAGGGUUCGAACCCUCCAAGUAUCG